UAGCUCAGUAGGUAGAGCAUGGUGUUUGCAACACCAGGGUUGUGGGUUCGUUUCCCAC
rnacentral:tRNA from 1 species